rnacentral:rRNA from 1 species
AUUGAACGCUGGCGGCAUGCCUUACACAUGCAAGUCGAACGGUAACAGGUCUUCGGAUGCUGACGAGUGGCGAACGGGUGAGUAAUACAUCGGAACGUGCCUAGUAGUGGGGGAUAACUACUCGAAAGAGUGGCUAAUACCGCAUGAGAUCUACGGAUGAAAGCAGGGGAUCGCAAGACCUUGUGCUACUAGAGCGGCCGAUGGCAGAUUAGGUAGUUGGUGGGAUAAAAGCUUACCAAGCCGACGAUCUGUAGCUGGUCUGAGAGGACGAUCAGCCACAGUUGGACUAGGACACGGCCCAGACUCCUACGGGAGGCACGAGUGGGGAAUUUUGGACAAUAGGCGCAAGCCUGAUCCAGCAAUGCCGCGUGCAGGAUGAAGGCCUUCGGGUUGUAAACUGCUUUUGUACGGAACGAAAAGCCCUGGGUUAAUACCCUGGGGUCAUGACGGUACCGUAAGAAUAAGCACCGGCUAACUACGUGCCAGCCGCCGCUGUAAUAC